GACGAACGCUGGCGGCAGGCUUAACACAUGCAAGUCGAGCGAGCGGCGGACGGGUGAGUAAUGUCUGGGAAACUGCCUGAUGGAGGGGGAUAACUACUGGAAACGGUAGCUAAUACCGCAUACCAUCAGAUGUGCCCAGAUGGGAUUAGCUAGUCGGUGGGGUAAUGGCUCACCUAGGCGACGAUCCCUAGCUGGUCGGAGAGGAUGACCAGCCACACUGGAACUGAGACACGGUCCAGAAUCCUACGGGAGGCAGCAGUGGGGAAUAUUGCACAAUGGGCGCAAGCCGGAUACAGACAUGCCGCGUGUGUGAAGAAGGCCUUCGGGUUGUAAAGCACUUGCAGCGAGGAGGCGUUACUCGCAGAAGAAGCACCGGCUAACUCCGUGCCAGCCGCCGCGGUAAUAC
rnacentral:rRNA from 1 species